rnacentral:misc_RNA from 1 species
GAUGAAGAACGCAGCGAAAUGCGAUAAGUAAUGUGAAUUGCAGAAUUCAGUGAAUCAUCGAAUCUUUGAACGCACAUUGCGCCCCUUGGUAUUCCGAGGGGCAUGCCUGUUCGAGCGUCAUAUUAACCACUCCCGCUUGCGGGGUCUUGGGCUUCGCCUCCGGGCGGGCCUUAAAAUCAGUGGCGGUGCCGUCGGGCUCUACGCGUAGUAAAUUUUCUCGCGAUAGGGUCCCGGUGGAUGCUUGCCAACAACCCCCAACUUCUUAAGGUUGACCUCGGAUCAGGUAGGGAUACCCGCUGAACUUAAGCAUAUCAAUAAGCGGA